rnacentral:rRNA from 1 species
AACGAACGCUGGCGGCAGGCUUAACACAUGCAAGUCGAGCGAAGACUUCGGUCUUAGCGGCGGACGGGUGAGUAACGCGUGGGAACGUGCCCUUCUCUACGGAACAGUUGGAAACGACUGCUAAUACCGUAUACGCCCUUUUGGGGAAAGAUUUAUUGCUGAUAGAUUAGCCCGCGUUAGAUUAGCUAGUUGGUGGGGUAAAGGCCUACCAAGGCGACGAUCUAUAGCUGGUCUGAGAGGAUGAUCAGCCACACUGGGACUGAGACACGGCCCAGACUCCUACGGGAGGCAGCAGUGGGGAAUAUUGGACAAUGGGCGCAAGCCUGAUCCAGCCAUGCCGCGUGUGUGAUGAAGGCCUUAGGGUUGUAAAGCACUUUCAACGGUGAAGAUAAUGACGGUAACCGUAGAAGAAGCCCCGGCUAACUUCGUGCCAGCCGCCGCGGUAAUAC